GCGGAUAUGGUUUAGUGGUAGAAUGAGGCACUUCCAAUGCCUAGACGGGAGUUCGAUUCUCCCUAUCCGCACCA
rnacentral:tRNA from 1 species